rnacentral:rRNA from 1 species
GACAGAGGGUGCAAACGUUUGUUCGGAAUUACUGGGCGUAAAGCGCGUGUAGGCUGCUUCGCAAGUCGGAUGUGAAAGCCCUGGGCUCAACCCAGGAAGUGCAUUCGAAACUGCAGAGCUGGAGUCCUGGAGAGGAAGGCGGAAUUCUCGGUGUAGAGGUGAAAUUCGAUAGAUAUCGAGAGGAACACCGGUGGCGAAGGCGGC